GUAGGGGGCUAGCGUUGUCCGGAAUCAUUGGGCGUAAAGAGCGUGUAGGCGGCCCGGUAAGUCCGCUGUGAAAGUCGGGGGCUCAACCCUCGAAAGCCGGUGGAUACUGUCGGGCUAGAGUGCGGAAGAGGCGAGUGGAAUUCCUGGUGUAGCGGUGAAAUGCGCAGAUAUCAGGAGGAACACCGAUUGCGAAGGCAGCUCGCUGGGACGUAACUGACGCUGAGACGCGAAAGCGUGGGGAGCAAACAGGAUUAGAUACCCUGGUAGUCCACGCUGUAAACGAUGGGCACUAGGUGUGGGGGGUGUCGACUCCCUCCGUGCCGAAGCUAACGCAUUAAGUGCCCCGCCUGGGGAGUACGGCCGCAAGGCUAAA
rnacentral:rRNA from 1 species